ACAUACAUACACUUCAAUCUAUUCUAAACAUAACCAGGAAAGGGUAAAAGAUGCAAUUAUGAGACAUGUACAAGAUGAAAUCUAAAACAUCUAGUUGGCGUAGAUCGUUGGCUUCAUGGUUCCGUUGAGUGCAGUCCUUUUGUUUGCUUCCUACAAAAGUUAAACAAUUCUCAAUUAUAAUACAGUAUUAGAAACUAGACUACAGUAGCAAAAUUCCAACAUAGAGGAUCAUCACAUUCUUAAAAAUAAAAACAGUAAUAAAUACCGAGAAUUCCAUAGCCAUGUGUUAACACUAACAUUGAUUCUCGACUGAGAUCACCACAGCCGGCCCACCAUCUCCACAAGGAGUUAAUAGGUCAGCAAAGGCGUUUGUUUCUUCUCAUUAAAACUAAGAUAAAUUACUCUUUUGGCAUAGGAAAAAAACAGAGUACGCAUGAUCUUGAGGUAUGAUCUUGAGGUAGUAGAAGCGUUUGAAGCAUCUAUUUGUGUUUAAACAAUUAUGUAUUAUAUAAGUUAUUCAUUCUUCUGCAUUUGCAGUCUUGUCAGCAUCUCAUUGAGGUCAUUUUCACUUUUUGGCAUCUGACAACUAAUGAGCAAUGCUUAUCUAGCUAUUUAAUUUGACUUUCAAGGACUACACUUGUGCAGACUUAUUAUACAAAUUCGUAGAUCUUACUAAAACAACUUAAGUACCUAGGCUUAACGAUGACGUACUUUCCAUAGCAGAUGUGUGCUAAGCAUAGAGUUUUUUGUACUAUUCUUCCUGGAAGGAGAUUGACUAGUUGGUGAAUAAAUCCCUUAUUUUGACUUUCAAUUUCACAAAAUAAACAUGAUGGGUCAAGUUACCUUCACAUGCCAGCUCAGGAUAAACGCACCUGGUCCAAUGUGGUAGCUAUAUAUUGCAAUGAUGAGAUUCCUUGUCCCAACAUUGAUUGAUGCCAUUACCUAGAUAUAAGACAUCUUGCUCCACUACCUGCAACGCAAAAAAGGAGUUCUUCAGAGGAAUUCUUUUAGUUUCUCCUCAAGAUAAAUGAUUUUAAUAUUCACUUCACAAAUAGAACGAUACUAUAUGAAAUUUUUUUCUUUGUAUAAAGCCGAUAUGAAUUCCACAUCUGCUAAUAGUAUAGGUUGUUGGAAAUAAAGAUGGCCACGCUACAUUAAUAACACAAGUCCAGGAAAUGUUCCAAAUUCUGGCAGCAGUGAUAAUCAUAAAUAAGCAUCCAGUCAGGUCAAAUAACAGAUAUAGUAUCCAAGACAAAAGAUUGUAACACUAGAGCGAUAGAAGGCUCACAAAACUGUGAAAGCGACACAAACAAGUUUGAAUAUUGAUAUACUCAACCAAAUACGGUUCAGUGCUAAAACAUUCACAAGUAAUUGCCGAAGGGAAACACAAAAUAAAAUGUGAAUGUUACGUGCAUAGCUUUGCACUGUUAAGGUCAUGACACCAGCCCAACAAGCAUGGCAUCAACUAUUACUUCACAAGGCAACUGAAUUGCCGCACAUACAGGAACUAUUACUCUACAUGAAACUAUAUCCCAAUUUCUUGCUCUCUAGUUUGAGAGUAAUUUGGUUUAGUUCAUCUUUACAACAGUUCUAUGUUAUUAGGAACACCAUAACAGCUAAAUAAUUCCAAUAGCAUUUAUGUCAACCAUGCAUUAUGUUCCAAUAUAGUAUACACAAUAGCACAACAUAAAUUUUCCAUUAGAUUUGGAUGGUUAAGAUCAUAACUGCAGCUUUGUGUACUGCCAACUUAUACAAGCAUGACAGCUUUAUAUGCAUAGCUUUGCACUAUUAAGGUCAUGACAACAGCCCAGUUAUUCAAGCAUGACAUUAGCUAUUCCUUCACAAGUCAACUGAAUAGUUGCAUAUAAAAGAACUAUUACUCUACAAGAAAUUAGUAACUCCCAACUUCUUGCUCUCUAAUUCGAGAGUGCUAUGGUUCAGUUAAUCUGUACAAUAACUUUAAGUCAUUAGGAACACCACAACAACUCAAAAUUUUCAAUAGCAUUCAUGUCAACGAUGCAUUAUGUUCCAGUAUACACAGUAGCAGUAGGACACUUCUAUUUUGUCUCAGCGCAAUCUAAAACAGCUUGCUGAAAAAGGGGUUUGUCUGCUUAAUCUUAGUAACCAGUAAAUCUACUUGUAAACAUAAAAUUCUAAAAACUAAGUGAUCAAAAUUAUUUAUUAAGUUGUGAUUGUGUGCAAGAAUGUGUCAGUUGGAGAACAUGAUAUUAACAGUAGGCGAACCAUCAUGGAAGAAUAACGACAUAAAAGUCGAAUGUCAACAUAUCGCAAUUUUUGUUCUAUAAGAUAAGCCAUAUGAAAAAUAUGAACUCUCUUUUUCGCCAUAUAAAAAAAGAACAACAUAAAGGUCCAAUGUCAACUGAGCCUGUAGUUUCCUGCUCUCUAAUUUGAGAGUAGCAUGUUUCAGUUCAUCAAUGAGAACCCAGCCCCCAUGGGAAUAGAUUAUCUUUUCCAAUAAAAGUUUCCACAAUGGACCCCCAAUUUCAUUAAGAGAUCAGAGCCCCUUUUGUUCAGAUAAGUGACCAAAAUUACCUUAGUGACGGGAUGACGAAAAUGCCCCUUUUGUUCAGACGCCCCAUAGAAGAAUUCAUCUGGUCUUUCAAAGUUGAAACCAAGUACUACUUCUGGGAACUAAAUAGAACAUAAUGUUAUAGUAUGAUAUUUUCACAAGGAAACAUUUACGAAAUGCUACAUGUAUACUGUUGUACCAAAGAAUUAGUAGAAAACUGGAGAUGUGUUUACUGGACAAGCACAUAGUCCUAUAUGCCAAUCAGAAGUAAACAGUGAGGGCAUCCAACAUUUGCUUGCUAUCAUCGAUACAUACUUACUGAUGUUCUUGAGAGUAAAUAGUAGUAGCAUCAAGUCGAUGUGAUGCAUAUGCAUAUGACUAUGGACAUCGUCCGGUGGCCUUUUUGCCCAAACUUACUAAAGAUUUAUUUCCCCUGCAAAUGUUAAUUUUCAAAUUCAAUCAGGUAACAACCCUAGAAUCCAAUCAAUAAUAGUGAUAGAAAAUUAGGGUUUGAGCUUUACUAGUUCAAGGACUUCUGCUUCCAUGAACCAAAUCAGCACAAUUUUUUUUAGAGAUUAAACUUACAACAGGUAAAAAAAAUCUGGUCCACCGGUGGGAGUUGGAAUCUGAACACACACACACACACACGCACAUAGAGAGAGAGAGAGAGAGAAAGAACCUUACGAUGUCGUUUCUUCCAUGGAUGGCUAGCUCCUGUUCUCCUGAAUUGGGGAGAGAUGGGGGCACCCACCACCAAGCUCCUAAUCACCGGAAGCAGAGGAAGCAGGGGUUGGGCGCCUUGGACCUGACGAAUGGGAGUGAAGGGACAUUGACCCACAUAGAUCUAGCUGGUCUGGGAUGCGGCAGUGGAGCCAUGAGAGAGAGGUGAGAGGUGGCAUCAGCGGGCACUUGCGUAUGAACAAAAAGCGCCACUGUUGGCACCUGUGUGAUGGCGGCGGCGGCACAAGCCCACCUCGGCGUGGGAAAAUGGCAGCCGUGUGGGGAUGACGACGGAGGGGUGCGAGAAAGAGGGGAACAAAGUGGUGGCAGCCUCGCUGGACGCGUAGCGCUGCCGUCGGCCGGAGAGGGCACCUAGGGCGGCGGCGGCGUGCGUGGUGGAUCUAGAGAAAGGGGAUAAGGUUUGGAGCGUGG
rnacentral:lncRNA from 1 species